AACGAACGCUGGCGGCAUGCCUAACACAUGCAAGUCGAACGAAGGCUUCGGCCUUAGUGGCGCACGGGUGAGUAACGCGUGGGAAACUGCCUAUUGGUGGGGAAUAACGACGGGAAACUGUCGCUAAUACCGCAUAAGCCCUUCGUGGGAAAGAUUUAUCGCCGAUAGAUGUGCCCGCGUCCGAUUAGCUAGCUGGUGAGGUAAUGGCUCACCAAGGCGACGAUCGGUAGCUGGUCUGAGAGGAUGAUCAGCCACACUGGGACUGAGACACGGCCCAGACUCCUACGGGAGGCAGCAGUGGGGAAUAUUGGACAAUGGGCGAAAGCCUGAUCCAGCAAUGCCGCGUGAGUGAUGAAGGCCUUAGGGUUGUAAAGCUCUUUCGGGUGGGACGAUGAUGACGGUACCACCAGAAGAAGCCCCGGCUAACUUCGUGCCAGCCGCCGCGGUAA
rnacentral:rRNA from 1 species